UACGUAGGGGGCAAGCGUUACUCGGAUUCACUGGGCGUAAAGCGCGUGUAGGCGGCUGGUCAAGCGUGGUGUGAAAUCUCCGGGCUCAACCCGGAAACUGCACCGCGAACUGGCCUGGCUGGAGUGCAGGAGAGGGAAGGGGAAUUCCCGGUGUAGCGGUGAAAUGCGUAGAUAUCGUGGAGAACACCCGUGGCGAAGGCGGGCUUCUGGUUGACUUCUGACGCUGAGGUGCGAAAGCUAGGGGAGCGAACGGG
rnacentral:rRNA from 1 species